CGAGAGAGAGGAAGGAAAUUAUAUCGAAUCAAUGGCUGUUCUCGAGGCUGUCACCGCUCUGGCUUUUCUCAUUUUGAAACUUCUCCCGCAGUGUAACUCGAGAAAAAAACCCCCACGAGGGGGACGAGAGCUUCAGCGCGCAGCUGGGCGCAGCUCACGGCAUGGGGACCCCGGAAGAAGGGAGGCAGGGGCUGGUCGACGUAUUGAUCGUGUGGAGGAAGGGGUAAGAAAUAGGAAGUAUGUGGACAGGAGAGGAAAGACGGUCAUGAUCGAGCAAACGCCUUAUCGUGUGAUGCACAGGGAGCACAUCCCAGUCGGAAAUCAGCAAAAGCGGGAACAUCAGAAAAGGCGGUGAUUCAUUGAUGCCUGCUAGCUCGCGGAUUUAGCUUUUUGUACCUCCGGACGUACGAGUGCUUGUAAUUAAUAAGGGUCUCGCACCACAGUGAAGUGGUCUCCGCUUUGCCCGGCCUUGGUUAUUUUCAUCUUUUUAUUAUAUAUAUAUAUAUAAGAUCUCUCGUUUGGAUGGUCUACCCAUCUUGUUCGUUUUUAAGUUAGAGAAGGAAAUAUAUCUGUUGAUUUGCUUGUCGAUUGGUGUGCUUGUAUCUUACAACAUGUAUGCAAUUUUCAAUAAAUGAAAGGUCCGCAUUCUCACUA